GCUCUGGUGGCCUAGUGGUUAGAGCGUCAGCCUUGGAUGAUGAAGGUCGUGGGUUAUAUCUCCGGUUGAGUCAUACCAAAGACU